CAAUAGCGUAUAUUAAAGUUGUUGCGGUUAAAAAGCUCGUAGUUGGAUUUCUGCUGAAGGCAGCCGGUCCAUGUUCGACAUGCGCAUCUGGAUUGACUUCGGCAUCCUCUCAGAUAACGAUUCUGUGCUUGAUUGCAUGGAGCGGAGUUUGAGACUUUUACUUUGAGGAAAAUAGAGUGUUCACGGCAGGCAAUCGCCCUGAAUAUAUUAGCAUGGAAUAAUAAAAUAGGAUCUUGGUUCUAUUUUGUUGGUUUCUAGAACGAAGAUAAUGAUUAAUAGGGACAAUUGGGGGCAUUCGUAUUAACGCGUCAGAGGUGGAAUUCUUGGAUUGCGUUACGACGAACUACUGCGAAAGCAUUUGCCAAGGAUGUUUNCAUUG
rnacentral:rRNA from 1 species